GGGCAGCUGUCUCGUCCAUGAGCUUCAAUGAGGUUUUACCCAAAAUCCAUCAUGUGGCUAGUGAGAUGCAAGCACCUGGGAGACGGCCAACUGGUACUCUAUAAAGAAUAACCCACAAUGGGAUAAAAAUGGCAUGUCGGCAACACCACUGCUAGCUCUUCCUAUGCCAGACAGGUAUCCUGACCCUGGAGGUUUCCACCCAGGCCUGGUCUUGACCUGCUGGGAAUGUGGCCUGCUGACAAGGAGGUGAGGUGUCUAUUCGUGGAGUCCCUCAGGAAGCAGGUGCUGGAGUGGUGACUCUGGAGACUGAAGUUUGGAGAUUUGAAGAUAAAUACACGUCCUCAAAACUUGUACUGCUUGGCCAGCAACAUUAAAGAAUGGCACUUCCUCCCCAAUCCUGAACCUGGAGGGAUCUCAUCUAGGGGUGAUAAGGACCUUGGCCUAAUC